AGAGUUUGAUCCUGGCUCAGGAUGAACGCUAGCGGCAGGCUUAACACAUGCAAGUCGAGGGGUAACAUUGUGCUUGCACAGAUGACGACCGGCGCACGGGUGCGUAACGCGUAUAGAACCUACCUUUUACAGAGGAAUAGCCUUUAGAAAUGAAGAUCAAUGCCUUAUGGUAUUAUAGACUGGCAUCAGUUUAUAAUUAAAGAUUUAUCGGUAAAAGAUGGCUAUGCGUCCUAUUAGUUAGUUGGUAAGGUAACGGCUUACCAAGACAGCGAUAGGUAGGGGUCCUGAGAGGGAGAUCCCCCACACUGGUACUGAGACACGGACCAGACUCCUACGGGAGGCAGCAGUGAGGAAUAUUGGACAAUGGAGGAGACUCUGAUCCAGCCAUGCCGCGUGUAGGAAGAAUGCCCUAUGGGUUGUAAACUACUUUUAUACAGGAAGAAACACUGGUAUGUAUACCAGCUUGACGGUAUUGUAAGAAUAAGGACCGGCUAACUCCGUGCCAGCAGCCGCGGUAAUACGGAGGGUCCGAGCGUUAUCCGGAAUCAUUGGGUUUAAAGGGUCCGCAGGCGGUCUAUUAAGUCAGAGGUGAAAUCCCAUAGCUCAACUAUGGAACUGCCUUUGAUACUGGUUGGCUUGAGUCAUAUGGAAGUAGAUAGAAUGUGUAGUGUAGCGGUGAAAUGCAUAGAUAUUACACAGAAUACCGAUUGCGAAGGCAGUCUACUACGUAUGUACUGACGCUGAGGGACGAAAGCGUGGGGAGCGAACAGGAUUAGAUACCCUGGUAGUCCACGCCGUAAACGAUGGAUACUAGUUGUUGGGAUUUAUCUCAGUGA
rnacentral:rRNA from 1 species